rnacentral:misc_RNA from 1 species
GCGAUCGAGAAAAGCAGAGAAAAGUGUUGACAGUUUUCCGAAAAAUAUUUUUUUUUAAAUGGAUGAAAAUUCGGAAUUAGUCGAUGAUCCGGAACCGACGAGUUCUAGUGAGCCCGAUGAUCUCGGGGCUAUCGAACAGAGAAUGAUUGCACUUGCAAAAACAAAACCAAAGGGUAUAUCUGAUAAGGAUAUAUCAAUGGAAAUGCCUGAUUUGGAACCUCUGCAGAAGGCCCAAAUAGUGAACAAGCUUUUGUCCCGAGGAUACAUCGAUUUGUUCAAGCAAGGAGGAUCGUUGCUUUAUCGAUUGAAAGAUCCUAACAAAGGAAAAGCUGUAAAAGGAGCAGACAACGAGGAAAAAAUAGUUUAUUCGAUAAUAGAGGAUGCCGGCAGCAAGGGAAUAUGGAUACGAGAUAUUCGCUUCAAGUCCAAUCUCAUGCUGACCCAGUUGAAUAAAAUAUUAAAAAAUUUAGAGACAAAAAAACUUAUCAAAGCUGUGAAAUCUGUAGCAGCAAGCAAAAAGAAAGUUUACAUGCUUUACAACCUUGAGCCAGACAGAACUAUCACUGGUGGUGCUUGGUAUCAGGAUCAGGACUUUGAAGCUGAAUUUGUUGAUGUUCUCAAUCAACAAUGCUUCAGAUUUCUUGAUCAAAAACGAGAAGAUAAUAAAGACUGUAGACUUGGCCCGAUCGAUGCAAGAAAUUCCACUUUUGCAUCUUCUAAAGAAGUUUGGAAAUUUAUUUCUGACCUUGGCAUUAGUAAGGUGAAAUUAUCAGUGGAAGACCUUGAAAUGAUUUUGAAUACCCUUGUUUAUGAUGGUAAAGUUGAAAGAAUACUUUCGUCAGAUGGAAAUAAUUUAUACAGAGCUAUACAACCAAUGUUGAGUCCACCAGGGCUCAUAAAAACUCCCUGUGGAGUUUGCCCGGUAAAAAUCGUUUUUUUAAAUCUGUUUCGAAGAGGCAUAUCAGCCUCUCCUAUUACAUACGAGUCGGAGAAAGUAUCUCACCUCAAGGUGAUCUACCAGUAAAACUGAAAAAAACCGACGUGUAUCUACUUUUCGGUUAUCAACUCUUCAGUCAUGCAUCUGAUCGGUGAGGAAAAACUGCUGCGACGUUGGAGACGUUUCGCCAAUUAAAUGCCAAUACAUCACGGAAUGGUUGGAUUUGUAACUUUUUUAAAUUAGCUUAAGAACCAAUUUUUCGAAGACUUCGUAAUAAACAUUGGGCUGAAAAAUCAA